rnacentral:piRNA from 1 species
UUGUAGUGGUCACUGUACACGUGGG